rnacentral:lncRNA from 1 species
GGCGCCGACGGGCCGCGCGGGGAGGAGCUGGCGGGGCCGCGCGGGCUCACUCACGGGCGGGCCGGGGCUCGUCGGGGCGCCCCCCGGGGCGGCGGCGGCGGCGGCGGCGGCGGCGGAGCGGGAGCCCGAGCCCGAGCCCGAGCGGCGCGGGCGGCGGCGCAUCGAUGCGCUGCGGGCUCGAUUGCGUCUCCCUGGGCCAGCUCCUGGGCCGGGAAUGGGGCGGCCGCGGCGGGGCUGGCUCGGGGCGCUGCCGGGCGGCGCUGGCGGGGCUGCGGGGGCGGCCGCCGGGCCGCGGUCCGGGGGGCGGGGGGGGCUGCUCCCGCGCGCUCCGGCGGGGCCGGGGGGGCUGCCCUGGACCCCGCGCCCCGCAGUCCCGGCGAGGGCCGGCCGGAGCCCCGCGCCCUGGGACUGGCUGCCGGCGCGCUCCCGGAGCUGCAAGCCCCGGCCUCCUUCCUUUUUCCUUUUUCCCCUUCCUUCCUCCUUCCUCCUCCCCCCCGUUUUUUUUCUUUUUUUUUUUUAGUUUCCUUUUCUUGCGUUUCUUUCCCCGUCUUCCUCGGCCCCCCUCGCCGUCCCUUUUCCUUUGUGGCUGUCUGUGCAAGUUUGUUUCAAAAGUUCACGGGCACCUUUCACGCUUUCUUUUCUUCUAGACCCGGGAGACCGCGGUCUCACCCAGACGGCAGGAUCGCUCGGCCCCGCUCGCCCCCACCCGCGGGCCUGCGCUCGGGCCACCCGCCUCCCGGUGCAGAUGCGCGGCGGCCGGCCUCCCGCCUCGGGCCGUAAGGGCGCGCGCAGGGGCGCUCGGAGCUGCGGGGUGCGGGGUGCGGGCCCCGCGCGGCGGCGGGGGAGGCGGAGGCGGCGGCGGGCUGCGGGGGGCGGCGGGGGGGGGGCGCGGCGAGCGGCGGCGGGAGCCGCUGCCCCCCUCCAGGCCCCGGAGACGCGGCCGCGGGGCGUGAAACGCUUCUUGCGAACGAGGAAACGAAAGCAUCCUUUGUUUCUGGUUGCAUGGUGUUCCACGAUCUGGGUCUCUUACAUUCAUGGGAGCAUCCUGCAGCAGUGGACGCGGCGCCCCCUUCUGCUCCAUCUCUGCAGCCAGGAGCACAGCGUGCAAGGGAGACGUGCUGAUCCAGGGUCUGGAUUGUCAGCGUGGAUGAUUAAAUACCUACUGAGCACAGGACACAGAGCCGGUCGAGACAGACGCUGGCGUGCACGCCCCUCACUGCCACGCUGUGCAUCGUGGGGUGUCAGGAAGAGUCGGCUUCCGGAAGAACCCAACCUGACGCAACCUGACGCAGGACAGAUCGGGAAAGGCCUAUUUUUCCUCAGCUCACCCCUUGUGCGUGUUUCAAUGGGCUGUCCCAUUCGGAAGAAGUCACUGCACGGCCCUGGGUUUCACUGCUAG